rnacentral:misc_RNA from 1 species
AACGCACAUUGCGCCCGCCAGUAUUCUGGCGGGCAUGCCUGUUCGAGCGUCAUUUCAACCCUCAAGCCCCCGGGCUUGGUGUUGGGGAUCGGCCCGCCCCCGCGCGGCGCCGGCCCCGAAAUCGAGUGGCGGUCUCGCUGUAGCCUCCUCUGCGUAGUAGCAACACCUCGCACCGGAACGCAGCGCGGCCACGCCGUGAAACCCCCCACCUUCUGAAGGUUGACCUCGAAUCAGGUAGGACUACCCGCUGAACUUAA